rnacentral:lncRNA from 1 species
CAAAUGAGGAAAGUGAAGAUGGGCAAAUAACCUGUUUUACUGAGGCUGCGACUCCCACCUCAGUUCGCUAGCCUCACUGCUUAUCUCGGUUGACAACGUUCAUGGCCUCUGCUGGAUGGCUCCCAUAGUCGAGUUGGUGCUUACAGAGGCUUUCUGGCAUGGAGGUGUCAAAUAGAGCACAUAGAAACAAGGAUCCACUUCAUGCUGCCUGCUUACAGUUUUUGAGAAUGGAGAAAAAUUAAGGAUUUCUCAUUGAAGAACCACAACUAAGAGUUGAGGGUCUUUCUACAUAGCCUGGCUGUUCUGGAACUCACCAUGUAGAUGAAGCUGGCCUCAAACUGACGAGAUUCUCCAACCCCUGCCUCCUGAGUGCUUGUAGUAAAGGCCCUGACACAUAUGUCCUACCUUCAAGGACCUCACAGUGAAGAAGGCUGGCUGAUCAUGCUACAGGUUACCGGGCAUGGUCUUUUCUUUAUCUGGACCUUUGACCCUCGACCCACAAGCAAAGGUUCCGGUGACUGACUUCCAGGCUAGCGUUCUGGGGGAUACUGGAAAGAAGACCAUUUUCUCUCCAGUGGAGAUUGCUAAUCAAACUAUGCAGCUUCUCUGGGGAAGAUGACUCUGUCAGGUUUGAUUGGAGCUGUGGGCCCUGAUGCCCAACCUGACAGCCCUGAUAGGCUGAGGGCCUGCUCUCUAGAAGCAAGAGGAACGAAUGUUACCUUCCAUGCCUUACCUCUUGCUCAGGCUGAGUCCUACCAAGCCUGAUAAGAGAGCUGUCCCGGGAGGUGAACCGGGAGAAUUUC